UCGACUUUCGACUUUCCAUCCUGCUUUGGCUUUAGAUCUGUGGCACGACUCUUCUGCACCAUUUUCUUCUUUCCUCUCUUAGAGAAAUGAUGACUUGCAGAUGAUCCUUCCAUAAUAUGCACCAGCUCAUUCUAGAGCUGAUGGUUCUUCUCGAAUGUCUAUAGUAACCCUAGCAAACUAUGGUAGUUCACUGCAAGCUUGGUGAUUCUAUAAUAAUUCAAGAAGGC
rnacentral:lncRNA from 1 species